UCUGUAGGCGGUGCGGCAAGUCGGUAGUGAAAUCUCAGGGCUUAACCCCGAGGCUGCUGCCGAAACUGCUGUGCUAGAGUGCGAGAGAGGCGAGUGGAAUUGCAGGUGUAGCGGUGAAAUGCGUAGAUAUCUGCAGGAACAUCCGAGGCGAAAGCGGCUCGCUGGAUCGCAACUGACGCUGAGAGACGAAAGCUAGGGGAGCAAACAGGAUUAGAUACCCUGGUAGUCCUAGCCCUAAACGAUCAGGACUGGGCGUGGGCCCUGUACGGGGCUCGUGCCGGAGCUAACGCGUUAAAGUCCUGCGCCUGGGGAGUACGGUCGCAAGGCUGAA
rnacentral:rRNA from 1 species